AGAGUUUGAUCCUGGCUCAGGACGAACGCUGGCGGCAUGCCUAAUACAUGCAAGUCGAACGCUGAAGCACUCUGCUUGCAGAGUGCGGAUGAGUGGCGAACGGGUGAGUAACACGUGGGAAAUCUGCCUAGGAGUGGGGGAUAACAUUCGGAAACGGAUGCUAAUACCGCAUAUCUUUUUGAACCGCAUGGUUCUUAAACGAAAGACGGCUUCGGCUGUCGCUCUUAGAUGAUCCCGCGGCGUAUUAGUUAGUUGGUGGGGUAAAGGCCUACCAAGACCAUGAUACGUAGCCGACCUGAGAGGGUGAUCGGCCACACUGGGACUGAGACACGGCCCAGACUCCUACGGGAGGCAGCAGUAGGGAAUCUUCCACAAUGGGUGAAAACCUGAUGGAGCAAUGCCGCGUGAAUGAAGAAGGUCUUCGGAUCGUAAAGUUCUGUUAUUAGAGAAGAACAAGUCAAGGAGUAACUGUCUUGACUUUGACGGUACCUAACCAGAAAGUCACGGCUAACUACGUGCCAGCAGCCGCGGUAAUACGUAGGUGACAAGCGUUGUCCGGAAUUAUUGGGCGUAAAGGGAGCGCAGGCGGUUGGAAUAGUCUGAUGUGAAAGCCCACGGCUUAACCGUGGAAGGUCAUUGGAAACUGUCCAACUUGAAUGCAGAAGAGGUAAGUGGAAUUCCAAGUGUAGCGGUGAAAUGCGUAGAUAUUUGGAGGAACACCGGUGGCGAAAGCGACUUACUGGUCUGUAAUUGACGCUGACGCUCGAAAGCGUGGGUAGCAAAACAAGAAUAAAUACCCUGGGUAGUCCCACGCCGUAAACAAUGAGUGCUAAAGUGGUUUAGGGGGGUUUUCCGCCCCCUUAAUG
rnacentral:rRNA from 1 species